rnacentral:rRNA from 1 species
GGAUUAGAUACCCUGGUAGUCCUAGCUGUAAACGAUGGAUACUAGACGUAGGAACUGGAUUGACGGUUUCUGUGUCGCAGCUAACGCAUUAAGUUAUCCGCCUGGGGAGUACGGUCGCAAGAUUAAAACUCAAAGGAAUUGACGGGGGCCUGCACAAGCGGUGGAGCAUGUGGUUUAAUUCGAAGCAACGCGCAGAACCUUACCAACGUUUGACAUCCUCAUCGCGAUUUCCAGAGAUGGAUUUCUUCAGUUCGGCUGGAUGAGUGACAGGUGCUGCAUGGCUGUCGUCAGCUCGUGCCG